AAAAGGGAAAAGUAGACAAGGGGGGAGAGAAAGAGGCAGAAAGGAAAAGGAAAUCAUGAGUGAUAUCUCUGUUUUUAUUGUUUGAACUGAAGAGGAACUUCCCUUUAAUCACCUUCUCCUUUCUUGUCCUAAAUUUAGAUUUACAAUACAGCAGUUAUGACCAUAAAAAUGCUGUACUACUAAACUGUACUACUUCUUUGUGGAUGUAUGUCUGCAGUAAAUUGGGGGGAACAAAAAACUUUUCAUAUAUGCAGCUGAAACGCAAAAAAUCUUUAAAGAGAAAACAACUAGUCAAAUACAGAGUUUACGUAAUAGAAAGUGAGUGUGUGACUGAACUAGAUCACAGAAUUAGGUUAAGUGUGCAUGUGUUUCAGGUGUCCAUAUAUUUCUAUUCCUGUACUAAGUUCUUCUUCAGUGGUGAACUUCCCCUAAAUGUACUUCUGCUUUCUCAACAGGCCCCAGCUGUGUGUGUGUGUGUGUGUGUGUGUGUGUGUGUGUGUGUGGUGUCAGAGUUCCUUAUGCACACACGCUCACACAUAAUGACAGGUGACGCACUGAGUCCUUGACAAUGGCAGGUGAACAGUUGUUUGUGAUCUGUCACUGUGUGUGUGUGUGUGUGUGUGUGGCAGAGUUUAAACAAGAGCGAAAGGAUUGCAGGGAUCCAAUUGUCCUUUCCACAUGCAGGCAUAAAUAUACUGUCAUCACAAGGCUUUGUGUGUGUGUGUGUGGGGGGGGUUUAAUGCUGCUCUGUGCUCAUACCAGUGUUUGACAGCAAAACAAUGGCACACACACACACACACACACACACACAUUUUUUAUUCUUUUUUCUGCCCUUUCUCCCAGGGGCAAGAUCAUACAAAGACACUAAACAACCUGACGAGGAUCCUCUCCCCCUCUCUCUUUUUUUCUUCUUCUUUGUCUCUUUCUGCAUGCAGAUGCACAUACACACACACGCAAAGCUGACUCUUCCAGACGAGUACAUGCUCCUAUACACCCCAACAAACUCACAGACACGCGUAGAGGACAGCAGAGUGCCGUCUGGGUGUAACCCCGUCACGCGUGGCAGGACAUGCCAAGGUUAGCCGCCACCAGAACGGAUGAAUCACCCUCCACACACGCACGCACGCGCACACACACACACACAUACACACCCUAAAUGAUUCCCUGGACUCUCGUAUACUCUGUCUACCCUCACCUACCCUCUCUCUCUUUUUAGCUGGCCCCUUGAGACCACAGUUAUUUCAAUGAGGCCCUCUGUCACUGUCUUGCUAUAGACACUACUGUACACACACACACACACACACACACACACACACACACACACACCUACUCUCUCUCAUCACACACAAAUCAAAGUUUAAACUUUCCAGGUAAUGUCUAUGUUUAUGCCAUUAGGAUAGAUUCCUGAGUGAGACACUCAGAAGCCAAUAGUUUUGCCAGAUCAUCUAAAUUGUGUUUUAUUUGGAGGUGAAACCAAAACUUAGCGCUUUCAAAAUGUUAGUGAUAAUCCCUCAUUGCAAAGUUGAAUGAGGAACUCACUAACUGAUUAACCUGGCAAUUUAAAACCAGUAUAGGUUAUUUAAUUCUCUUGCCCAGUUUGUCGUCUUUUUACUGAUGCUGUCACAUCUGAGAUCUUAGCAAUUGGUGAACACAGUCUUACUAUUAGAGACAGGAACGAUGGCCAGAGCUACAAAAAUAAGACCCGGUUGCAAUGAAUGAGAAUUGACCCUAAAACCUCACCAGGUGCCAAAACAUUAAUAUAAUUUUGAAAGGAUAAAACUCAUUGUUUUGCCUCUACAAGAAAACAGAGAAAGCCCCAAAGUCAAGCUGCUGUUUUUAAUAGCUGCUGUGAAACUGCCCACUGGGACAAAUAAAAGUUGAAACCUGAGCUUGAUCUUGAGGAUGAAUGUGCCUUUGAGGCGUCCUCUCCCUCUUGGAUUACACCCCCUCAUCCCUUAGUUGCUCAAAUUUGCUCUCAUCUUUAAAAAAAAGACAAACCCACUCUUUUUAAUGUCUUCUCAGGACAGUUUCUCUUAAUUUUUUUUUAAAGAUCUUUGACCUCUUUACUUUUAAAUUGGUGAUGUUCAAAUUUAAGCUUCACUCUGGUGAGGGGCAUCAACUAAACACCCAGAUGAAGGGAUGUAGCUAUGAAAUCUGGGUUCUGUGAUGGAGUAUUGUUCUUCAUCAACUGUACUUCCUAUCCAUUUUUUGUGAUUGAUAUCUCAAAUUGCAAAGAGCUGUAAAACAAGAAACCAACAUGCACAGUGGGACAGUAAGAGAUUCAGUGACCUUGACCUAGAAGGGCCCUGGCCUGAGUGUCUCUGUGUUGCAGCGUGGUUACUGCCGUGUUCAGCAAGAUGAUUGGUGUGUUUUAAAAAUGUUUCAGGAUGGCGUGCGUCAUCAUUGCGGCGGCGAGAGGACUCAAAGUGCUGAAACAAGACUACGAUGGGGAGAGGAAAGGACACAGCUGAUUCGCAGAGAGGAUCUCCUUCUGUCUCCACCUCAUCCUUGUCAUCUUCCCUUCUUGGAUCCGUCUGUCCCAACUUCCCUCCGAUCAACCGUCUGGAGAAAAGCUAAUAACAGUCCAGGAGUCCCCGUCAGGACCCCUAGGCGUCCCUGUGCCUGCCUGCCAAAAACGUCUGCAUCUCCUGGACCCCCUCGAGGCAGAGGACAGCCAAAUGUCACUUGGACCCUCUACAGAGUGGUGAGAGGGGGACAGGAAGAGGCGAAUGGGAGAGUGGGGUGGUGGAGGAGGAAGGAGGAGGGAGGGAGGAGAAGGGGAGUUGAAUGAGUGAGAGACAAAAG